rnacentral:lncRNA from 1 species
UCAUUGAAAACUUAUAAUUAGAAAUGUGUCAACAAGAUAUGACAAUAGAAACCUCAACUACCGUCUAUGAAGUCUCUACUGAUACUGAUUGUCUAGGCCGGGACAAGCCCUCGGCUGGACCAUAUACUGAAAGACUCAACAUAUAAAUAAAUGCCUUCCGAAAGAUGGAUGGCUCACCAAUUCUGUCAAAUCUUAAGUAUUCUACUGAU